rnacentral:rRNA from 1 species
CACGUAGGGUGCGAGCGUUGUCCGGAAUUAUUGGGCGUAAAGAGCUCGUAGGCGGUGUGUCGCGUCGGCCGUGAAAACCUGCAGCUUAACUGUGGGCUUGCGGUCGAUACGGGCAUCACUGGAGUUCGGCAGGGGAGACUGGAAUUCCUGGUGUAGCGGUGAAAUGCGCAGAUAUCGGAAGGAACAUCAGUGGCGAAAGCGACUUCCUGGACCAGUACCGACGUUCAGGCACGAAAGCGUGGGGAGCAAACAGG